AUAAAAGCAUUGAAGGAGACGAAGUAGUUAAUUUACGGUGACAUCAGAGAGGGAGCGGUUGGUGAAAGACUCCUCGAACGUAAAAUAACGAAUUACUCUCCAGAGCUGGAAGAUUGAAAUUGAAAAGUAAAUCUUUCCGGGUACGCCCGUAAUAGCAGAAAGAGUGUGUCGCCCAAAGCAGAGCACUCGAAUGAGGCUAAGGUAGAAUCAGCCAUAGGCUGAUUUUUUGUGGCCAAAUAGCCAUACUUUGUAUUAAUGUAUUAAUACAUUAAUACACCUUAGUAAACCAAGGUGGUAUCGCGAGAAACCCUCGCCCUUGUC
rnacentral:ncRNA from 1 species